rnacentral:tRNA from 1 species
GGCACUGUAGCACAGUGGGUUAAUGCCCUGGCCUGAAGCGCCAGCAUCACAUAUGGGCUCUGGUUCGAGACCUGGCUGCUCCA